rnacentral:rRNA from 1 species
GAUGAACGCUAGCGGCAGGCCUAACACAUGCAAGUCGAGGGGUAACUAGAGUGAUAGCAAUAUUACUUUGGCUAGACCGGCGCACGGGUGCGUAACACGUAUGCAACCUACCUUAUACUGGGGGAUAACUUCGAGAAAUCGGCGCUAAUACCCCAUACCAUUGCGAAGAGGCAUCUCUUCGCAAUUAAAGCUCCGGCGGUAUAAGAUGGGCAUGCGUCCAAUUAGCUAGUGGGUGAGGUAACGGCUGCCCAAGGCUACGUGUUGUAGGGGUGAUGAGAGGAUGAUCCCCCACACUGGUACUGAGACGCGGACCAGACUCCUACGGGAGGCAGCAGUGAGGAAUAUUGCGCAAUGGACGAAAGUCUGACGCAGCCAUGCCGCGUGCAGGAUGACGGCCCUAUGGGUUAUAAACUGCUUUUGUACGGGAAUAAACCCUUCUACGUGUAGGAGGCUGAAGGUACCGUAAGAAUAAGCACCGGCUAACUCCGUGCCAGCCGCCGCAGUAACAC